AUUGAACGCUGGCGGCAGGCCUAACACAUGCAAGUCGAACGGUAACAGRGAGCAGCUUGCUGCUCUGCUGACGAGUGGCGGACGGGUGAGUAAUGUCUGGGAAACUGCCUGAUGGAGGGGGAUAACUACUGGAAACGGUAGCUAAUACCGCAUAACGUCUUCGGACCAAAGUGGGGGACCUUCGGGCCUCAUGCCAUCAGAUGUGCCCAGAUGGGAUUAGCUAGUAGGUGGGGUAACGGCUCACCUAGGCGACGAUCCCUAGCUGGUCUGAGAGGAUGACCAGCCACACUGGAACUGAGACACGGUCCAGACUCCUACGGGAGGCAGCAGUGGGGAAUAUUGCACAAUGGGCGCAAGCCUGAUGCAGCCAUGCCGCGUGUAUGAAGAAGGCCUUCGGGUUGUAAAGUACUUUCAGCGAGGAGGAAGGGAUUGUGGUUAAUAACCRCAGUCAUUGACGUUACUCGCAGAAGAAGCACCGGCUAACUCC
rnacentral:rRNA from 1 species